rnacentral:rRNA from 1 species
UACGUAGGUGACAAGCGUUGUCCGGAUUUACUGGGCGUAAAGAGCGCGCAGGCGGUCGAUCAAGUCGAGUGUGAAAGCCCCCGGCUCAACUGGGGAGGGUCAUUCGAAACUGGUCGACUCGAAGGCAGGAGAGGGUAGUGGAAUUCCCGGUGUAGUGGUGAAAUGCGUAGAUAUCGGGAGGAACACCAGUGGCGAAGGCGGCUCUCUGGGACGGUACUGACGCUGAGACGCGAAAGCGUGGGGAGCGAACAGG